UUAAUUGAAACCAAAAUAGAGGUAUAUCACUGUUAAUGAUAUCAUUGAAAUAAUCGUUUCCGAUUAAA
rnacentral:tRNA from 1 species